CAAAUCAUAUUCCUAUCCAAAAGUACAAUUUUCGAAUCUCUUUUCGGGAACAUCCCCUGCUGAGUGUGCCUACUUUUGAGCCAGGAAAACUUUCGCUUGGCCCAAAAGUGUCAAAACAACUGGCUUGGAGGCGGAGGCUGGCGCUCCUACGGCCAAAGAAAGUGUGUACCUAUGGACCAUCGGCCAUUCUGGCCAGUUGCCUGAGGCGAGGCACUUGCCCCCAGCAUUGGCAUCAGUAUCGGAUGCAACUAGGAAAUCAAAAUGUGCAUAUGAAAGUAAUUUCCACACUUAAUAGGAUACGGAUACGGAAACUCACUCUGGCUAUACGUUUUACGAUAUCCUCUCCGCUUUUUUAUGCCAUUGACUAUCCCAUUCAUGCAUACAUUUGCAUCUGGCUACAGAGAGGGAAGAGGGGAAGAGCAAUAGAGCUUUUCGUCAUUGAAUACAUAAGAAUGCUCGACUCGACCUCGUCACACGGUGACUCUCUCUCUCUCUCUCUGUAUCUGGCUGUCUCCUGCCACCUGCCACCCACGGCCAUGGCGAAUGUUUCCGUUCGAGUUUCCGUUUGGCAUACGUUACCAUAUCCCAUGGUAUAUAGCAUAUAGCAGUUACCGUUACCGUUACCAGGGGCGUGACAGAUGGGAGGCUGCGAGUCUGAGAGGCUGACAGACUAACGGACGGACGGGAUUGAGUCUGAGAGGCCGAAACGGCAUCUCAUAUGUCUGCUGUCAAAUUUUGAAAUUAUUCUACUUACUCGGCUUACAAGUAGAGCAUGAAAUAAACGAAAACGAGCAACGCAUUCUGCACUCUGUCAAGUGAGACUCUCCAGAUGCUGCCACGGAGAUACAGUUACAGUUACAGAUGGUGUGCCAUAAGUUUAUAUGCCCGCAACGAAGAAAAACUCUACUGAAGCAAAACCAAAUGCGGCAGCUGCUUCAUUUCAUU